rnacentral:tRNA from 1 species
GAGGGUAUAGCUCAGUGGUAGAGUGCGUGCUUAGCAUGCAUGAGGUCCUGGGUUCAGUCCCCAGUACCUGCA